GACGUAAGGGGCUAGCGUUGUCCGGAAUUACUGGGCGUAAAGAGCACGUAGGCGGCCUAGCAAGCGGCGGGUGAAAUCCCACGGCUCAACCGUGGAACUGCUUGCCGAACUGCUAAGCUUGAGCACGGGAGAGGGCAGUGGAAUUCCUGGUGUAGCGGUGGAAUGCGUCAAUAUCAGGAGGAACACCGGUGGCGAAGGCUGCUGCCUGGAACGUUGCUGACGCUGAGGUGCGAAAGCUAGGGGAGCGAACGGGAUUAGAUACCCCGGUAGUCCUAGCCGUAAACGAUGGGUGCUAGGUGUUGGAGGCUUCGACCCCUUCAGUGCUGUUAAGCUAACGCGUUAAGCACCCCGCCUGGGGAGUACGGCCGCAAGGUUG
rnacentral:rRNA from 1 species